AUGACAUUAUACUUUCCACUUCUCCCAGGUACUUUUGAAAAGAAAUAUGCCUGGAUCACUUCUUCGCUGUUUACUAAUACUACACAAGGUGAAUUUCAAGAAGCAGAAAUGAAGUAUUCUGAGGGGAGAGCUUACCCAAGGCUGAGCCUAAAAUCUGCUAAGUGGAGCCCAGAUGAAGCAAAGCUGCCACAUAAACCAGAGAAAAUUUACUCUAUGGAGACUAAUGAAUUCCCCUAUCAUCACAGACAUAAGAGCCAAGUGUGAUUUCCAUUUUACAAACUCAGGAAACUAAGGCCACAGAAUCCACAGGGAGCGGAACCCAGUGAGCACACACGUCCACACCCGUCUGCUAGUGAAGGUACUGCUUUGCCAUCAUUCUGUGCUCAGGCAGGAGGAAACUUGGCAGUGCACAGGGAGUCCUUGGAACACUCAUGAUCCUGAGGAUGAUCCUCUCUCAUUAUUUCAGUUUCCUAAACACUUUUCCUGUGAUUAAGGAACUGAAUUAAUUAUUGACAAGGUGGCUGGCCAGCACAGACCAAAAAUCCCACUCAUGUGGGAUGUGUUCCCUCUAAGUGGAGCGCUGGGAAAGCAUGCAGUAUUGUUUUGCUCUUCCUCUGAGAAAGGGCUUGACAACUGGUCAGUGUCCAGCAGCCUGGUCUUUGGACAUAAAUAAUCAUUUCUCCAGGGAAGGCUCUACCUAGGUCAUCUGAUCUGUUUUCCCCAGAAAGUGUAUUGCACUGACAAGGCUAUCAUCCCAAGGAAGAAAGCAGAAAUCUCAAAAUAAAACAUUUUCAUCAGUGAAUCCUGGGAGGGGCCAUAGUUCCAGGAAGGACUAUUUAUUCCAAGCACUGGAAUGGAUUUAACAAUGUCCAGUCAUAAAGUAGACGGCCUCUAAGAAAAAGGAACACUCUUACACUGUUGGUAGGAAUGUAAAUUGGUACAGCCACUAUGGAAAAUUAUAUGGAGGUUUCUCAAAAGACUAAAAACAGAGUUACCAUAUGAGCCAGUGAUCCCACUCCUUGGCAUAUAUCCAUACAAAACUCUAAUUGAAAAGAUAAAUGUACCUCAAUGUUCAAAGAAGCACUAUUUACAAUAGCCAAGACAUGGAAAAAACCUAAUGUCCAUCAACAGAUGAGUACAUAAAGAGAUGUGGUACAUAUAUACCAUGGAAUAUUGCUCAGCCAUAAAUAAGAAUGAAUAGUGCCAUUUAUUAUUAAUAAUAAAUUAAUUAUUAAUCCAUGGAUGGACCUAGAGAUUAUCACAUUAAGUGAAUUGAGUCAGACAGAA
rnacentral:lncRNA from 1 species